GAACCUGGACAGAGGCCAAGUGUUGGGAGCCCUUUACCCUUCAGAGGGGGUGCAGAAAAACGUCCUCGAGACCCCAUGAGCAGUGGGGGGGCAGUGAGCAGUGAAAGCUCAGAGACGCCUCUUUCUCCAAAAGCUGCCAAGAGUUGUUUACGUCGUGAGUCGGAGCCUGGGAAGCUGAAAAGUGCUAGAGGCUUCAAGGUCAGCCACCUGCAUCAAGUAGAGAUAAGAGCUUCAGAGUUGUGUGGGAACGCCGAGACAAGUCCAGUCUCCAUGGCAACUGAGAGAGUUGCAUCUACGGCAACUGUGAAGGUCGUGGGCAAGUCUUCCUGCCGGG